UACGUAGGGCGCAAGCGUUGUCCGGAAUUAUUGGGCGUAAAGAGCUCGUAGGCGGACCUGCAAGUCGGGGGUGAAAGCCCGAGGCUCAACCUCGGAACUGCCUUCGAUACUGCGGGUCUCGAGUCCGGGAGAGGUGAGUGGAAUUCCUAGUGUAGAGGUGAAAUUCGUAGAUAUUAGGAAGAACACCAGUGGCGAAGGCGGCUCACUGGCCCGGUACUGACGCUGAGGCGCGAAAGCGUGGGGAGCAAACAGG
rnacentral:rRNA from 1 species